CCGGCAUAGAGCGGGCUACUCAGGAGACCUUACAGUGGCACAGCUGAAACGGUAUAGCUGUGCCACUAUAAGGUCUGUAGUGUCUUAGGCUGAGAUGCACCAAUGCCUG